rnacentral:rRNA from 1 species
AUUGAACGCUGGCGGCAGGCCUAACACAUGCAAGUCGAACGAGUGGCGGACGGGUGAGCAAUGUCUGGGAAACUGCCUGAUGGAGGGGGAUAACUACUGGAAACGGUAGCUAAUACCGCAAACUAUCGGAUGUGCCCCGAUGGGAUUAGCUAGUAGGGGGGGUAACGGCUAACCUAGGCGACGAUCCCUAGCUGAUCGGAGAGGAUGACCAGCCACACUGGAACGGAGACACGGUCCAGACGCCUACGGGAGGCAGCAGUGGGGAAUAUUGCACAAUGGGCGCAAGCCUGAGGCAGCCAAGCCGCGUGUAUGAAGAAGGCCUUCGGAUUGUAAAGUUCUUUCAGCGGAGAGGCGUUACUCACAGAGAAAGCACCGGCUAACUCCGUGCCAGCAGCCGCGGUAAUUC